ACACUGUUAUCACCAAAUACUACUAUCGCCUUUCCCUACCCGUCGACCCUCUUCACAUACCUACACACAUAAACUUAUACAUAUACCUACAAACACACACACACAUACCUACAUCCGUAUAUGCAUAUACACACACAUAUCUUCCGCCGUCUAUAAUAUACAUAUAGCCGAUCCCUCUCCGAGAACGAAAAAAAUGUAUACACACAUAUAUAUAUAUUGACAGCAGCACGCAUUGUGUUUCUUGCCUAUAAGAUCCUGUACGAUCCUGUAUGAGUUGGUCUCUUAGCCCCACACCAAAUUUGUAUAUAUUUGAUCUCGUUAAACUACUUUUAUGUGGACGCCUAAAUCAUUAUCCG